rnacentral:snoRNA from 2 species
AGGCCAUGAUGGGGACACUUGCGUAAUAGCUCCUUGAACCUUUCCCAUGUUUCAUAUAAGGAUUCCCCGUCCUCUUGUGAGUAUGUAUUGAUUUCAGCCAUUAAUUU